AGCGAACGCUGGCGGCAGGCUUAACACAUGCAAGUCGAACGCCCCUUUCGGGGGGAGUGGCAGACGGGUGAGUAACGCGUGGGAACGUGCCCAUCGGUUCGGGAUAACCCAGGGAAACUUGGGCUAAUACCGGAUACGACCGUGAGGUGAAAGAACUUCGCCGAUGGAUCGGCCCGCGUCUGAUUAGCUGGUUGGUAGGGUAACGGCCUACCAAGGCGACGAUCAGUAGCUGGUCUGAGAGGAUGAUCAGCCACACUGGGACUGAGACACGGCCCAGACUCCUACGGGAGGCAGCAGUGGGGAAUAUUGGACAAUGGGCGCAAGCCUGAUCCAGCCAUGCCGCGUGAGCGAUGAAGGCCCUAGGGUUGUAAAGCUCUUUCGCACGCGACGAUAAUGACGGUAGCGUGAGAAGAAGCCCCGGCUAACUUCGUGCCAGCCGCCGCAGUAACAC
rnacentral:rRNA from 1 species